CGAUUGAUAUAUAUUGUUAUUGAAUUAUCGUCCAGCCCUAGUAUGGUAUAUCCACAGUAAAGUCUUCCACCAUAAUUUGAAAUGUCUUGGCCCUAUCUAGGAAACCUACUCAACCUCAGAAAUGUCCAGGACUUUGUUUCCAGAACCCUCAAUUGUACCAUAAGUACAGAAUAUCUCUCCAGAGGCUGAGAGUACCAACAGACAACAUUUGGGGGAAGAGCAGACACUUCUAGAUUGGCGAUCUCUGUGGUCCCAGCAACACAAAGAGUAUGAAGAGUCUUUGCUAGCAGACCAAGAAAAAGAAAGGAGAAGACAGUGUUACAAGGCCUGGGAGGAAAGACGCGUAAAACAAUUGAAGAACGCCAGCAACGACUGGCGGUACAUGAAGAACCAUCAAGUGGGCUGCUUUUGAAGUUCAAAUAUCUGAACGGAUUUAUCACAAAGAGAACUUUCAAUGUGUCUGACCAAAUCCAGGUCUUGUUUGACUUUGUCGGACAAGAUGAAAUGGCAAGUGAAAUAUUCAGUGUUCAACAAGCAACAUCAUCCACACCAAUUGAGAGUACCUCAUCAGGCUCACUUAUGGAUCAUGGCAUAACAACAUCUGCAACUUUGUACGUGCUUUGGAUUUCAACU